rnacentral:misc_RNA from 1 species
UCCUGGUUAACCCAGGCAGUCUCAUUAGAGUUCCCACCUUAUAUGUUGGCAACUAAUGAUAAGGGUUGCGCUCGUUGCGGGACUUAACCCAACACCUCACGGCACGAGCUGACGACAGCCAUGCAGCACCUGUGCAAAGGCCCCGAAGGGAGGCUCUAUCUCUAAAGCUGUCCUCUGCAUGUCAAGCCUGGGUAAGGUUCUUCGCGUUGCAUCGAAUUAAACCACAUGCUCCACUGCUUGUGCGGGUCCCCGUCAAUUCUUUUGAGUUUCACCCUUGCGAGCGUACUCCUCAGGCGGUAUACUUAUCGCGUUAGCUUCGGCACAACCAGGGUUGAGUCCGGUUACACCAAGUAUACAUAGUUUACGGCAAGGACUAC